rnacentral:rRNA from 1 species
GAUGAACGCUGGCGGCGUGCCUAAUACAUGCAAGUCGAGCGAACAGACGAGGAUCUUGCUCCUCUGACGUUAGCGGCGGACGGGUGAGUAACACGUGGAUAACCUACCUAUAAGACUGGGAUAACUUCGGGAAACCGGAGCUAAUACCGGAUAAUAUAUUGAACCGCAUGGUUCAAUAGUGAAAGACGGUUUUGCUGUCACUUAUAGAUAGAUCCGCGCCGCAUUAGCUAGUUGGUAAGGUAACGGCUUACCAAGGCAACGAUGCGUAGCCGACCUGAGAGGGUGAGCGGCCACACUGGAACUGAGACACGGUCCAGACUCCUACGGGAGGCAGCAGUAGGGAAUCUUCCGCAAUGGGCGAAAGCUUGACGGAGCAACGCCGCGUGAGUGAUGAAGGUCUUCGGAUCGUAAAACUCUGUUAUUAGGGAAGAACAAAUGUGUAAGUAACUAUGCACGUCUUGACGGUACCUAAUCAGAAAGCCACGGCUAACUACGUG